rnacentral:misc_RNA from 1 species
AACGCACAUUGCGCCCCCUGGUAUUCCGGGGGGCAUGCCUGUCCGAGCGUCAUUACAACCCUCAAGCUCAGCUUGGUGUUGGGCCCCGCCGCCCCGGCGGGCCCUAAAGUCAGUGGCGGUGCCAUCCGGCUCCGAGCGUAGUAAUUCUUCUCGCUCUGGAGGUCCGGUUGUGUGCUUGCCAUCAACCCCCAAUUUUUUUCAGGUUGACCUCGGAUCAGGUAGGGAUACCCGCUGAACUUAA